CCUACGGGCGGCAGUAGUGGGGAAUAUUGGACAAUGGGGGCAACCCUGAUCCAGCCAUGCCGCGUGUGUGAAGAAGGCCCUCGGGUUGUAAAGCACUUUCAGUGAGGAAGAACGCCUGGUGGUUAAUACCCAUCAGGAAAGACAUCACUCACAGAAGAAGCACCGGCUAACUCCGUGCCAGCAGCCGCGGUAAUACGGAGGGUGCGAGCGUUAAUCGGAAUUACUGGGCGUAAAGCGCGCGUAGGUGGCUUGAUAAGCCGGUUGUGAAAGCCCCGGGCUCAACCUGGGAACGGCAUCCGGAACUGUCAAGCUAGAGUGCAGGAGAGGAAGGUAGAAUUCCCGGUGUAGCGGCGAAAUGCGUAGAGAUCGGGAGGAAUACCAGUGGCGAAGGCGGCCUUCUGGACUGACACUGCCACUGAGGUGCGAAAGCGUGGGUAGCAAACAGGAUUAGAUACCCCAGUAGUC
rnacentral:rRNA from 1 species